rnacentral:rRNA from 1 species
CAGCAGUAGCCACGGGAAUACAGAGGGUGCGAGCGUUAAUCGGAUUUACUGGGCGUAAAGCGUGCGUAGGCGGCUUCUUAAGUCGGAUGUGAAAUCCCUGAGCUUAACUUAGGAAUUGCAUUCGAUACUGGGAAGCUAGAGUAUGGGAGAGGAUGGUAGAAUUCCAGGUGUAGCGGUGAAAUGCGUAGAGAUCUGGAGGAAUACCGAUGGCGAAGGCAGCCAUCUGGCCUAAUACUGACGCUGAGGUACGAAAGCAUGGGGAGCAAACAGGAUUAGAUACCCCAGUAGUCCCUGUCUCUUAUAC